AUUACAAGAAUUUUUCAGAAAAUAAAACGAGAAGAAGGAGUAGAAAGAAGGCACUUAAAUCAAGAUCAGCCGAGUUCACUUACCUACGAAUUGCUUCCUUGGCAAGUUUCCCGAUCAUUCUGACAACAAAAGCUGCAACCCAACACCACCAGACUCAUCUCUGCCA